CCAGGAAGGCAGCAGGCGCGCAAAUUACCCAAUCCCGAUACGGGGAGGUAGUGACAAUAAAUACUGAUACGGGGCUCUUUUGGGUCGCGUAAUUGGAAUGAGAACAAUUUAAAUCCCUUAACGAGGAACAAUUGGAGGGCAAGUCUGGUGCCAGCAGCCGCGGUAAUUCCAGCUCCAAUAGCGUAUAUUAAAGUUGUUGCAGUUAAAAAGCUCGUAGUUGAACCUUGGGUCUGGCUGGCCGGUCCGCCUCACCGCGAGUACUGUCCGGCUGGACCUUUCCUUCUGGGGAACCUCAUGGCCUUCACUGGCUGUGGGGGGAACCAGGACUUUUACUGUGAAAAAAUUAGAGUGUUCAAAGCAGGCCUUUGCUCGAAUACAUUAGCAUGGAAUAAUAGAAUAGGACGUGCGGUUCUAUUUUGUUGGUUUCUAGGACCGCCGUAAUGAUUAAUAGGGAUAGUCGGGGGCGUCAGUAUUCAGCUGUCAGAGGUGAAAUUCUUGGAUUUGCUGAAUGACUAACUACU
rnacentral:rRNA from 1 species